rnacentral:lncRNA from 1 species
CUAGACCUGGCAAUCUCCACCCAUACCUGCAGGUGCCCGCGGGUUACUCGCAAAUUUGCGGGUAUGGAUACCAACAUUUCAAACCCAAAAAAUUACGGAUAAAAUGGGUGGGUACCCAUUAAGUUGUGGAUAUUUUGGGUAACUCACGAGUACCCACGGAUACCCGCACAUAUAUUUUUUAAUUAAAAUACAUAUAUUUUUAUUUAUCCAUUCUAAAAAUUCUAACCCUAAUUUCUUAUCGCAUCUUUUAUAUUACGAAAUCUUUUUGUUUUAAGACUUUAAAUAUUUCUAUUGUAUGUUAUGAUAUUUUAAAUAAUGAAUUAUGUUAUAUUUUUAAAACUUAUAUGUAUGUAUUUGCAUUUAAAAAAUAUAAAAGAAAAAAGAAAAAAAUUGCGGAUAACCCGCAUACCCACCCGCCCACUCGCGGGCGGGUAUGGAUAAAGAUGUUGGCUACCCAAAAAUUUGAGGGCAAAUUUUACCAUGCCCAAGUAACCCGCGGGUACAAUGACCCGCCCGCGGAUUACCCAAGCCGUCCGUUUGCCAGGUCUAAGAGUGACAAAACCGCCACUCAGGCUUCUUGGAUUGGGGGCGGGCCGGUUUGUUUUGGGGCCGGGCCCUGAACCAACCCACUUUGUGGGGAGCGUCUAACUUUUAUUAUGCUAUCAAUAGUAACAAGCGCUUGAUGCUACUAAGUUUUUCUUCGUUAAAUCUAUUCUUGUUAGAUUAUAUAAAUUCAAUCAACCACCACUCACUCAACUCUAGGGUAUCAUUUUCUUCCUAACUAGACAUUUCUUCAUCCAAGGGCCGAAAACUUGUGCUAUUAAUAGUAUAAUAGUCUAGUUCUCUCGCUAUAUAUACAGAAGUGAUCAAAAUGGUAGAUCUAACGGUAAAAAAAUCUACAAGCACCAAGUAGCCGUACUCUCUCUCUUUAUAU